GCAUCUGUAGUGUAGUGGUUAUCAUCCUUGCCUUCCAUUCUUCGGAUCAGCAAGGGACCCGGUUUCGAUUACCGGCGGAUGCA
rnacentral:tRNA from 1 species